UACGGAGGGUGCGAGCGUUGUUCGGAAUCACUGGGCGUAAAGCGCAUGUAGGCGGGUCGGUGUGUCGGGUGUGAAAUACCGGGGCUCAACCCCGGGGCUGCGCUCGAAACUACCGAUCUUGAGUUCGGGAGAGGAACGUGGAAUUCCGGGUGUAGAGGUGAAAUUCGUAGAUAUCCGGAGGAACCCCAGAGGCGAAGGCGACGUUCUGGACCGAUACUGACGCUGAGAUGCGAAAGCGUGGGGAGCAAACAGA
rnacentral:rRNA from 1 species